CGUAGGGUCCAAGCGUUAUCCGGGAAUCACUGGGCGUAAAGCGUGCGUAGGUGGCGCGUUAAGUGAGAUGUUAAAUCGUGGGGCUCAACCCUGUCGGUGCAUCUCAUACUGGCGUGCUAGAGGACAGCAGAGGCAAGUGGAAGUUUGUAGUGUAGCAGUGAAAUGCGUAGAUAUUACAAGGAACACCAAUGGCGAAGGCAGCUUGCUCGGGCUACUCCUGACACUGAGGUACGAAAGCGUGGGGAGCGAACAGGAUUAGAUACCCUGGUAGUCCACGCCGUAAACGAUGCAUACUAGACGUAUGGGGUAUCGACCCCCCUGUGCGUCGAAGCUAACGCGAUAAGUAUGCCGCCUGGGAAGUACGGCCGCAAGGCUA
rnacentral:rRNA from 1 species